rnacentral:rRNA from 1 species
UUCUUAGUGGCGGACGGGUGAGUAACGCGUGGGUAACCUGCCCUGUACAGGGGGAUAACACUUAGAAAUAGGUGCUAAAACCGCAUAAGCGCACAGUACCGCAUGGUACAGUGUGAAAAACUCCGGUGGUACAGGAUGGACCCGCGUCUGAUUAGCUGGUUGGAGGGGUAACGGCCCACCAAGGCGACGAUCAGUAGCCGGCCUGAGAGGGUGAACGGCCACAUUGGGACUGAGACACGGCCCAAACUCCUACGGAAGGCAGCAG